GGGGGGGGGAGGUAGGGAUCAUCUUUUCAUGCCUCAACAAUGGAGUUCUGCUGGCUGAGCUCAUAGCAGCAUCUGCAGUGGAAACAGUUAAUAUUUGUGUUUAAAAAAAAAAAACAACACAUGAACAUGAGACUAAGGUAGAACGUUUAAAAAUAACUGUUCUUGAUGUUGCUACAGAGACCUUUAUUAUAGCCAUAGUACGUGAUGUGCAUUGAUUACGUUCCACAUAAGUAGCAUUUUCUUGCUCAGACUAGUAGGAACUGACAGUACUCCCACUUGUAUGAGACAGUAUGAAGAAGCAUGCAGGCUGUGGCAGAAAGGAGGUGUGCUUGGCUUUUCAACUCUUAAAAACUAAAAUCAAUACAGGCACAGGAAGUCGGUUGUAAAACCCUGUUACCAGGGAGGAACGGAAACAAGACGCUAUCUCAGAGCUACAGUUCCUAAGAGGAGGAUCUUGUUUCAUGACAUAAUAAAAGCCAGGGUCUGGUGAGAUAGCAACAGAAUCCCUAAUUAAGAGACAGGAUACUCUAAGCUUGAACAUGAGCCUCUUGAAGUAAGUAUCCAAAGCACCUUUACAUCCAAAAUGUUAAGCUCUUGAUUAAACAAGUAUAAAGUACUUUUGAUGAUAAUUAAAGAUGAGCUUCAGUCAAAAUAUUGGCUUUGUGUUAGGGCCAAACUAAACCUUGGCAUUUGAACCCUCAUUAUCAUUUGUUUUGACACAUUCUGAUCAGAACUAUUUGGGCCCUAUUAAUAACCAUCUCAAGUGCUUUACUUGUUGCAGCAAAGAUGGCACAAUCAGUCAAAGUAUCCCUGGUAUCCCUCAAAUUCUCAGUCAUCCUCAUUAAAAAUAGCUAGCAGUUGGUGAAGUGGGGAGCAGAGGAAUAUCGCCCAUCUGAACUGUACUUGAGGGACCUGGAAAUGAAUACUGAUGCAGAAGAGAGAUGGACGACAGAUCAGAUGGAAAGAAGCCUUCGUGUGGGGAGCAGUGGGAGGUGGGGGUGAGCUCUUUCUAUAUUGCAAUCUGCUUCUUCAAAGGGCAGAAGAAACACUGGGGGGAAAAGAAGACAAUCUAGGUGGCAUCAAAGAAAGUCUGACAUGCUUUAAAGCUUCAGUGUUUUUAAUGAGGUUCACUCCAGUAAAAUGAAGAACCACCUAAUAAGUAGGCGACCUUGUGCUUGGCAGAGUUCAAAGCCAGAAGUGCAGGCAGUCCUAAUCACUGUAUUUCUUUUUGUUCUUCUCACGGAUCUUCAGAACCAGACCAGACAGCUGUAGUGCUCUCUCGAUGGUAGAACCCUCAGGACAGUUGAAAGGAAGGGAUGUACCACAGCAAUCUGUCAUCAGUGCAACUUCCAGCAAUCUUUGUAGCUAACAGAUCACAGUGGAUUUUCUUUCUCCUCAUGAAUUUACCUAAUCACUUUCUAAAUCCUGUUUCAUGCAGUACUGUGAGAAUGAUAAUCUAAUUUUGGUCUCUAAGACAUGAAAUACAAAAACAAUAGGAGGCCCAGGAAAGAAUGAAGCCAUUUUGCCAACAGAUAUUACAAAAACAUGCAACAAUUAUAGCACAUUGACGAAGAAAAUUACUAAAACCGCUAAUUACAAAAUAACCCAGCAUUUCCUGCUGUGAAAAUGAAUUUGUUAUUUAGACCACUUCACUGUUUUUGAUAAAUCACCACCUGUAAUUGCUUUUCUAAGCUCGUGAUAGGGGUAUUUCUCUAUUUGGUGCCAUGAUGUCAAAUUGAAAGAGUACCUUUUCGACUGGUCGCAUUGUCUAGGGUUAAAUAGAAAACCUUUCCAAACUCUUCUUCACUCCAAGAUUUUUGUAUCAGUCAUGGAUGAGAAGAAAAAAGACAAAUGUCACCACUCUUUGCCUAGCUGUGAGAAAUUCACUGCCUGUGAAGUUAUGCUACUUGUUCUCUGCUACAAUACUAACUUUCAUGUAUUUUGCAAUCCCUGUCUAUCUCUGUUGUAAUUUCUUGCAAAGUGUUGAAAAUGUAAAGCUCUACACUCACAAUUGCCCCACAAUCUGAUUUACAAACUAAAAGAAUAUACCUGGGCUUUUCUGAGUAUUUUUCUUGCUUACAUAUAGGUGAGAUAUUCCCUUUAACAAAUAAUCCUCAUAUUAAAAAAAAAACAAGAACCAACCACGCAUACCAGGUCUAACUUAUGCAUGUGCAGCAUCCUAUUUAAUAAUUUACAGCUGUGCAAAGAACAAGCAGGUGAGUGUAUUCCAUACAGCUGCACAAAGCUCUGCGUAACCAGAGCGGAAACGGAAUGACUGCACGCACCUUUCUAUUUAUCCAGACCUCUAGAAAACGCAAACAGCAAAUUCUAAAGUGAAGCCAAAGCCAUGCAUGCCUCGAGGCCCUUUCCAGAUGGUAUGAAGACGAGCCCUUUUCCCUCCCUUUUACAUGACGUGAUUUUGCUUCCUCUCGGAUCAUCUCAGCCCUACUUACCGUUACACAACGUUUUUUGCACCCACGUUAACGUUAUUUGCUGCUAAUUCUGAUAUUCUGUCGUCAUCAGUGAAAAUGCUGAAACCCUCCCAGUUCUUGUUCAUGACGUGUCUCCGAGAUUACACAGCCCUCGAUAAAAAUGUCCCUGGGAAAGGAUAAAAGCGAUUACUGAGCUCAGUGCUUCAGACCCUUAAGCUGCCACCAGGUGCAUCAAAUGUGCCAGUUUUUCUCUUCUGCUUGCUUAACAGAGGAAAAAGCUCAAAUGAACGUUUAUCUGAUGUUCCUCCUGACCCCAAACUAAAGCUGUUAUUGCCUCUCUGAAUAUAUUAUUCCAUUCCUGUAAAGCCAUUUAGUUGCAAAUUCAACAUUUUCUUAUUGCAUAUGCCCACAUUAGCCAUGGUAAAGGCCUGUAACAGGGCAGAUGCAGUUCUGUCCCAAUGACCUCUCUGGUAUUUCUAUAGAAAUGCUCUGUUAAACACCCAGGCAUUUCAACUUCCAGUCACAAGACCUAUAAAAAAUUCAUACACCGAAUCUCUGGUUUCAAACCACAGCUCUGCAUCAUUAAGAGCUUUUCAAUCCUCCCACCCCACAGACGUUAUGAAGAAGGGGGGAGGGCGGCUCUACCUUCCCAGUGCUUAACCCUCACAUCUUCUGCUCCUCCUGCCUGCAAUUUUAACCAGCUCUGGGUGGAGGCUGGCAAACACGUGUGAGCUGCAGAGCACACAACCAGGCUGAUAUCCCAUCACCCCCAACAGAGCUUAAGAACGUGUUCGCAUUUUGAGAUCUGCCCCAAACUUCUCAGCGGGAAGCAGCAAAGGGGCUUCUAAGGAACCCCGGCACCUCCGUGCAUCUCUUGCUCUUUCCAGAGGGCUUUCACUCAG
ensembl:lncRNA